GCCUUCGUGGUGUAGUGGUCAGCACGCUGGGCUUAUAUUCCAGAGGUCCGUGGUUCAAGUCCCGGCGAAGGCG
rfam:Stegodyphus mimosarum contig31242, whole genome shotgun sequence.